UUGACCAGAAACUUUUCGAGGGACGCGGCGUUGACGCAGCUCUGGCCCAGAAACUCCUGCUUCAGGGCUUCCAUGUCAUGUCGCAGCUUGUCCUCCACCGGCCGCUCGAUGCUGGAGAAAACCAGCGCUCCGAACAGCAGGGGCUGUCCUAAUUGAACUUGAACCCCUCCUUGUCACCGCAUCCUCCUCCCACAGUAGAAGCAGGAGGGUGUGUUCAGCUGAGUCCUGUUGUGCAUCCUGGUCCUGGAUCCUGGAAAAGUCUCAAGGUGCGCUUAUGGAGUUAUCUCAAGACCCUUUCCCCCAAGACCACAUGUAUUUUUUUUUUUAAGUUUUGGAAAGGUUUGAGGGUGUUUUGAAUACAUACAUGAAACAUAAUUCUUCAAUAAAUAAGAUGUUUAACUGUU